UAUAAUGAGUCAGCACCUGAACUUCCUGGAGCUGCAGGGGGAAGUAGACAAGUGAAUCUGGCCUGACCUCCAAGAUUCUUCAGCAACCUAUUGGUGUUACUUACUGCUCAACCAGACCUAUGAUACCAUCCUUCCCUGGCGUCUUAAAGGUGGAGAAAUGGAGGCCCAGAGAUCAAGUGAUUUUCCAAUCCUCAGAGUCAGCUGGCAGCAAAGAAUCUUCUUGGGCCAUUACUCCCUCGGAGAGAAGCAAAUCCUUCAUAGGGAAUGCUGGAUGUGCCUGUGACAAACUAUCAACCCAAGAAAGAAGGAGAAGGUGAAACCAAGAGACCAGCCUCUAGGAAAGACUGGCAUCAUUCCUGUGCAGAGGCCCUGGGGAAGUUUAGCAUGCUGCUCGCGGGUGGAAAAGCUCAGAAAACAAAAUUUUAUAGGCAGGGAAUAACUGCAACAAGGGAAUUCUGACAAAGGUCUGGAGAAUACCAAGCAAGGACAGCUUGUUAUAAAGGGAAAGGGGAUGUAGAGAGUUUGUAGAAGAUACAGCCUUCAAUACAGCUGACCAGCUUAGAAGCUUAAACCAGGUAUACUCCUCAUUCUAGAUGAAUAAAGUGGAUGUUAUCAGUUAACCUAAGUCUACGGAGCACCAGCCCCUCAUCAACUUGAAGUGAAUGCAAAACAAAAAGAAUUUCUAGGCCUGCAAAUUUGGGAACCAGAUAUGUGAUCCAAAGGAGCUAAGACCCAGUCUACUUGUAAGGCUCUGCCUGAGCAACCAAAAGACUUCCUUCCUCAUGUCAGAUAUUUCUUGAGCUGCAACCAACUAGCAAUUUCACUGUAUAACUAUAAACACCACAAGAAAAUAAUGAGUUCGUUUUCCCAGUGUUCUUAAACUGCACUGUUAUCUCAAAUUUGUGGAAAGUUAGAUGGAAGAAAAGAAAGGACUCUUUAUCAAGGAACUGGGUCACUUCUUAAGGGACCGAAGAUUAUCUCUUUCUAUUGCCAGGGAUGCUGGCCUCCAGAGUAGCCGGGGACCUCUUGAUGAAGGGAUCAAACUGCCAUGAAGGCAGAUGUUGUUCCCAGGAUUCUUGGACCAGAGUUCAUCCUUCCUCACAACCAAUGACAUGCUUUUAUGUGGCUGGGAUGUUCAGCAUAGUGAUGGAGCCACAGAACCACACAAUCAGAAGAGUCUGAAAACAGCGCAUCCCAAAUAUGUAGAUCAACAUGAGAUGUAUUUUAUUGAGUAUACUUAGCAGCUAUUAAAAACAUGCAUUUUUAACAAUAGUAUUAAUAUUUGUGGUAGGUCUCUUAUACAUUAAAAUGAUUAACUAAUGUCAUCUUACCUGUAACAACCUUAAUCGUUGUUCAUUGUUGAAUCUCUCCACUGCAGCCCAGAACCACCGAAUUACAAUAUGAUUGUCAUGAUAACCUAUCAAACCAAUCACGAAAGCCCAUAUUACUUUGAGUUUUCUAUCUUAAGUCACUAUGACACUGACCCGUCAACAAAAGACCCCCAGACAUACAUCAUCAUCUUGGAUUAAAGGUUAUUUACAAUUUAAGACCAAGGAAUAACACUGUAAAUAUGAUUGCAUGAGUGUCACAAGUCAAACAAAACACUAAAUGAAACCAAGAAAUCUCUGUUUCCAUUUAGUGGUCACUAAAUGAAACUAGUGGAGAGAAGAACAACAAAUGAGUUAUUUUAACCGUAUCAUUUCUGAAAAAUAUAAAUGUGUUACUGGAAAUGCUUAACCCUUUGGAUCAUUCAUUGAAGAAAUAAUUUUCCAGUGCUACUAUGCCAAUCACUGUGCUAAGUUUGGGGGUACAAUAGCAAAGAAAACAGAUUCUCACAGAGCUUCUGGUAAAGGAGAAACAAAUAAUUAUACAAAAAAAAUAUGUAACUACUAACUAUUUUAAAGCUACAUAUAAUGUUCACAUUUUGAAAUCAAAUUACUUUUUUGCUAAUAAAAA